rnacentral:rRNA from 1 species
GUUAUAUGGUCAAGUGAAGAAGCGCAUACGGUGGAUGCCUUGGCAGUCAGAGGCGAUGAAAGACGUGGUAGCCUGCGAUAAGCUUUGGGGAGUCGGCAAACAGACUGUGAUCCAGAGAUCUCUGAAUGGGGGAACCCACUCAGCA